GUGUUGUAUGAAAAGGGAGGUUAGCACUCCCCUUGACAAGGAUGGAAGAGGCCCUUGGGCCUGACAACAUGCAUAUGGUUAAGGCAUUGCCACCUACUCCUGCAUCCCAGGUGUUCCU
rnacentral:ncRNA from 1 species